CAGCAGCCGCGGUAAUACGAAGGGGGCUAGCGUUGCUCGGAAUUACUGGGCGUAAAGGGCGCGUAGGCGGCGCUCCAAGUUAGGCGUGAAAUUCCCGGGCUCAACCUGGGGACUGCGCUUAAGACUGGAGUGCUUGAGGAUGGAAGAGGGUUGUGGAAUUCCCAGUGUAGAGGUGAAAUUCGUAGAUAUUGGGAAGAACACCGGUGGCGAAGGCGGCAACCUGGUCCAUUACUGACGCUGAGGCGCGAUAGCGUGGGGAGCAAACAGGAUUAGAUACCCCAGUAGUCCCUGUCUCUUAUAC
rnacentral:rRNA from 1 species